GCUUCUCCAUCCUAGGAAUCACAACAUUAAGCACACCGUUCUUGAGUUCCGCCUUGAUUUCCUCAACCUUAGCAUCAUCAGGCAGAGACAAGCUCGUGUUGUAGUAACCAUAACUCCUUGAAGACCAGUGCUCGUCUUCUUCAGGUGAUCCUUCUUCUUCCUCCGCCUUGUGUUCUCCUUUAAUCAUUAGGAUUCCAUUAUCUACCGUGAUCUUCACGUCAUCUUUGGUUAGCCCUGGAACCUCGUACCUCUCCGAUUUUUCCUUCAGUGAGUGUUUUGCGAGAAAUCCGUGAAUAAGAAAUAAUCAUAGCCGUUGAUUUUGAAAUAACCAUUUUUGACCCAAUAAGCUUCCAACCGUGAGUCAACCUGAUCAAAUUUUCUGGAAAUAAUAUCCAGAGUACUCACAAUGGUCGUUAGAGUAGCUUUGUUCUCCAACUCCAACUCUUUACUACCUUCCUUCUUGCUAAACCCUUUCCCGCUGCAUCAGCUUCAGACUCAUUCUGUGUCUUAACUUUCUUCUGCUUCAUAGUGGGUGACUCUAACACAUAACUCAGCCAUCAACUAAAAUAAUUCAGCCGUGAUUUAACACAUAACUCAGCCAUCAACUAAAAUAAUUCAGCCGUAAUUUAACACAUAACUCAGCCAUUAAAUAACUCCGAACUCAGCCAUCAAAUAAAUUAAGUAAGCGUUAAACCUUACCUCGCCAUGCUUUUCGAUUUCGGCAGACAACAAUUUAUCAAAGUUUGCGCGUGUACGCUUUCUAUCCCAUCGCAAAAGCGGAACGUCUUCGUUAUUGAUCACUCUCCCAAAACUCUCACCAAAGCAUGUGACGGAUUCAUAAGCCCAAAUCAAUAACGCGUCCUUCAUGCCGCUUAUUGUGUAUGAACCUCCAUCUGGAGCCAACGUUUUAAUAUAGUCAAUUAGAACUUCGUAUGCAGUCCGACCCCAUGGAUACGACCUCAUGGUUUCAUUGAAUACCCUUAUUGCACUUUGAAAGGGUACCCUUGAAUUGUGAUGCAAACAAUAGACUCCCAUGGAUUGAACAAGUAGCAACCCCAACCACUUGCGCUUUUCAAAACUCCAAAGCGGACAGAACGCUAAUGCUGCCUUCAGUUCAUCUAACUUUGGUCCCAUCCCAAGCGGCGCCUUCAAUUCCCCCCAAAACUCGUUGUAUUGACCAGGAUCAAAUUUUUCGGUUGGCAAUGAACCUGUGUUUAGCCCAGUGAUCUCACCAAACUCGAGCAAGCUAAACCUGAUAGCCUAAUCUGCCACGAGACACCAUAUCUCCUUCUUUAUAACUCGCAGCUGUCUACAUAGUAGAUAGUGCACGGUCCUACCAGACCACAUGCUUUCGCGUUCAGCUAGCCUAGCAACUACUCCAAUGGGAGAGUUCACCAGUUCUUCCCACACAUCAAGUCCUAUUGUUUCUCUAACGUGGGGGAAAUGCCCUGGAUGGAAAUUUUGAUUAAUAACUUUACCAUCUAGGUUAGAAGACCCUUCAGGGUAAAGUCUUGGUGGGUAAUCCCCUGAUUUAACUUCAGCAGCAUCCAUCUGAUCAUAUAACCCAACAAUAAAAUCAGCCACAACAAAACAGUAACUCAGCCGCAUCAUAAGAGUAACACAGUCAUAACAUAACAUUAGGUUAUUCACGACACAAAUAUAACUCAGCCAUAACAUAACCAUAACUCAGCCGCAGCAAAACCCUAACUCAGACGCAACGAAACCCCCAACAAAACAAAAUCAGAGCCGCAACACAACCCUAUCUCAGUCGCAACAAAAUAUAAAUAAGAUGAAAUAUAAUACAUAACUGACCCACAAACUCAACAAAACACAAUAUAUAACGUCGCGAUAUCUUACCGGAAAAGAUGAACUCGAAGAUAAGAAUGCGGCGAAGACGGCGGCGAAGACGAUUUCGUACAAACGAGUUCAGAAUUCUGAUUUCGGACACGAUGAUAACAGAGAAAACAGAGUACAACGACAGAGAGCUAUUUCGACAAAGAGGAAGUUAACACAAACAAUGUCGAUGACGGAGAGUGGGAGUAUCCUCGCGGUUCCUUCUUCGACGGUUCUUCUUCGACGGUUCUUCUUCGAGACGAGAACGAUGUUCUUAGUUAGUUUUUUUUUUUAAACUUCGAUUUAGUUAUGUUGGAGAAGAGACGGUUUGGUUUCUAUUGUAGUGGUGAUAUGUAAUUUUAAUUACUGAUGUGGAUUAUAUGUUUAAAAGUAAUUUCAAUUAAAAAAACUAACCAAAGGCCAUUAGAGUUAUUUACUAUAGGUGUCCAAACAUUUUAAUCAUUUUAAAAAAAUAUUUAACACUCUAGUAAUAAACCAACUUUUAUUAUACAUUCUAGUAAUUUUCUCAAAUCUUUAUGAUGAUAUUUUUCCGGUGGCCUUUAGCUGGUCGAAGAUUUGGUCAUGACACGCAGUUUUGCGCCACUUUUUUUGUGCUGAGAACAAUUCAUGUCCCCCUCAGUUUUUCAAAACCAACAAACUUUUAAUUGAAAUGGUAAACUACUUUUUCAACCAACUCAACUAAGUGGAAGCAUUACAUUAUUUUAUUAUACAUAAUUUAUUUUACCGAAUAGUGUUAAUACUACUUAUCAAAAAAAAAAAAAGAAUAGUGUUAAUACGUAACCAUCUGUUCUGCAUGUGCAUCUCCAUGGCCAUGAUACGUGUAGCUUGGUGGGUCUAGUCUAGACAAACAUCAUAUGAUCUCAACUAACUGCCGUGACAAGAGAAUCGACUUGAGCUUUUUACAAGAUAGAACGGUGCUUUCCCAGAGAUUUUAGGAUACGAUAUUCUGUUGCUGAGAUGGCUCGAUCGAAUACUUCCAUUUAUUUAUAUCCAAUCAAACUCUCUCUUCACCAAGAUUCCCAAGCAUUUCAAUAUUUUAUUUCCCAUCAAAUCUUUGUAAUUGGAAGCAUCCAUUUUUCCAAUCCUCUCUGUGCAGGACCUUGGAUCAGCAAACUGAGACGCGUACUUGUAGACUUUCGUACUUAGAUGAUCAAUUUCUCGUCCAAGCCUCUUUCAAAUCUUGCUUGCGUUUUUUUUUCGAUGAUUAAAGCAUUUAUUAAAGAAAAUCGAGAUUCUAAACCAAAAUGAUAUCUAGAAUCCCAUCUAUAAAGCAAUCAUGUCAAGAUUUUAGGUUUACAAAAAAUUUUAAGGGUUUUUGUUAAAAUAUAACCAAAGUAACAUGUUGACCUUUUGCCAUAAAUCAUUUUCUUGGCAGAUUUUUGAGUUUUGCUACAAUGAAUAAAUAUGAACACUGCUUUAAUUUUUAUAUAUAGCAAUUAUUUAGCUUGGGAAACAAGCUACGGUAGUGCAUACCCGCCAUGAAGCCAAUGUUUCUACUUGCUUAUUAGAUAUGACUUGUCCUCAUCUUUUAGUGGUAUUCAUAUAUGAGAAAUUUGGCGACAUAUACGUAACAAACCAAAAUAUCAACAAUAUAACCAUAGCAUUAACAAAGUUAUGAUAUUUAUGAAAUAUAUAUAAUUAAUAUAUGUUGUUGCGUGUGUCAUACAAACACUCACGCACUACGAAGAACUUCAAUAUCUAUUUACGGGGUAAAAAGACAACUCCCAAAUCCAGACUAAAUUCUUAAUUGAUUGGCGUCCUAUGAAUAAUAUACACCAAAAUGACCCUUCAUAUAUCCUCUUGAUCAACUGUUCAUACACUUGGGAGAUAGAUUACAUUAUCUUUUGAAAACUUCGUCUACCAAAUCAGAAAUAGUUUAUUAUAAUCACACACAACAAACACAUAUAGGGAUACAACAUUCUGUCAUUUAUUCCUUAUUCCAUCGAAACAGCAAAAUCACAUAGACCACACCAUGUCACUCUACUCAACAGUAAUCUCCUGAACAUCCUUCUUUGGCUUCUCCAUCCUAGGAAUCACAACAUUAAGCACACCGUUCUUGAGUUCCGCCUUGAUUUCCUCAACCUUAGCAUCAUCAGGCAGAGACAAGCUCGUGUUGUAGUAACCAUAACUCCUUGAAGACCAGUGCUCGUCUUCUUCAGGUGAUCCUUCUUCUUCCUCCCCCUUGUGUUCUCCUUUAAUCAUCAGGAUUCCAUUAUCUACCGUGAUCUUCACGUCAUCUUUGGUUAGCCCUGGAACCUCGUACCUCAGCUUGUAACAGUCGUCUUGCUCCUUCACUUGACCCAUU
rnacentral:lncRNA from 1 species